rnacentral:rRNA from 1 species
CUGAGCUUAAGCAUAUCAAUAAGCGGAGGA